CAGCCGUAAACAAUGUGCGUUAGGUGUGUCGGUAACCACGCGUUACUGAUGCGCCGAAGAGAAAUCGUGAAACGCACCACCUGGGAAGUACGGUCGCAAGGCUGAAACUUAAAGGAAUUGGCGGGGGAGCACCACAACAGGUGGAGCCUGCGGUUUAAUUGGAUUCCAACGCCGGACAUCUCACCGGAUAAGACAGCUGAAUGAUUGUCAAUCUGAAGGUUUUACAUGACUAGCUGAGAGGAGGUGCAUGGCGUCAGUGACU
rnacentral:rRNA from 1 species